UAGGGAAUCUUCGGCAAUGGGGGCAACCCUGACCGAGCAACGCCGCGUGAGUGAAGAAGGUUUUCGGAUCGUAAAGCUCUGUUGUAAGAGAAGAACGUGUGUGAGAGUGGAAAGUUCACACAGUGACGGUAACUUACCAGAAAGGGACGGCUAACUACGUGCCAGCAGCCGCGGUAAUACGUAGGUCCCGAGCGUUGUCCGGAUUUAUUGGGCGUAAAGCGAGCGCAGGCGGUUUAAUAAGUCUGAAGUUGAAGGCAGUGGCUUAACCAUUGUUCGCUUUGGAAACUGUUAAACUUGAGUGCAGAAGGGGAGAGUGGAAUUCCAUGUGUAGCGGUGAAAUGCGUAGAUAUAUGGAGGAACACCGGUGGCGAAAGCGGCUCUCUGGUCUGUAACUGACGCUGAGGCUCGAAAGCGUGGGGAGCAAACAGG
rnacentral:rRNA from 1 species